GUCUACGGCCAUGCCACCCUGAACAAGCCCGAUCCCAUCUGAUCUCGGAAGUUAAGCAGGGUCGGGCCUGGUUAGUACUUGAAUGGGAGACCACCUAGGAAGACCAGGUGCUGUAGGCG
rnacentral:rRNA from 1 species